rnacentral:rRNA from 1 species
GGACCCGCACAAGUAGUGGAGCAUGUGGUUUAAUUCGAAGAUACGCGCAGAACCUUACCAACACUUGACAUGUUCGUCGCGACUUUAAGAGAUUAAAGUUUUCGGUUCGGCCGGACGAAACACAGGUGCUGCAUGGCUGUCGUCAGCUCGUGUCGUGAGAUGUUGGGUUAAGUCCCGCAACGAGCGCAACCCUCACUUUUAGUUGCCAUCAUUAAGUUGGGCACUCUGAAAGAACUGCCAGUGAUAAGCUGGAGGAAGGUGGGGAUGACGUCAAGUCCUCAUGGCCCUUACGUGUUGGGCUACACACGUGCUACAAAUGGUAUCUACAACAGGAAGCAAAGACUGCGACGUU